UACGUAGGUGGCGAGCGUUGUCCGGAUUUACUGGGCGUAAAGGGAGCGUAGGCGGAUUUUUAAGUGAGAUGUGAAAUACUCGGGCUCAACUUGAGUGCUGCAUUUCAAACUGGAAGUCUAGAGUGCAGGAGAGGAGAAUGGAAUUCCUAGUGUAGCGGUGAAAUGCGUAGAGAUUAGGAAGAACACCAGUGGCGAAGGCGAUUCUCUGGACUGUAACUGACGCUGAGGCUCGAAAGCGUGGGGAGCAAGCAGG
rnacentral:rRNA from 1 species